GAGUGCGUAAUAGCUCACUGGUCGAGAGACGCUGCGCCGAAAAUGUCCGGGGCUCAAGCACGGAACCGAAGCUAUGGCAUGAUAGCAAUAUCAUGGGUAGGGGAGCGUUCUUAUAAGGAAGAAGCAUGACCGGAAGGACAUGUGGACAAAUAAGAAGUGAGAAUGCCGGUAUGAGUAUCGAAAAGAAAGGUGAGAAUCCUUUCCACCGAAAGCCCGAGGGUUCCUGAGCAACGAUCGUCGACUCAGGGUAAGUCGGGACCUAAGCCGAGGCGAAAAGCGUAGGCGAUGGACAACAGGUUGAAAUUCCUGUACCGGAUCAAGUCGAUUGAGCGAAGGAGCGACGCAGGAGGGCACAUGAUCGCGCGGCUGGAAGAGCGCGUCCAAGUGCGUAUGUUGCAGCAGAGGAAAACCCCUGCGGCUGAAAGCAGAGACAUGAUGGGGAGUUAAAGGAAACUUUGACGAACUCAUGAAUCCCACACUGCCAAGAAAAACUUCUAGCGAGACAAGAUCCGCCCGUACCGUAAACCGACACAGGUAGGCGGGGAGAGAAUCCUAAGGUGCGCGGGAAAACCCUCGUUAAGGAACUCGGCAAAUUGCAUCCGUAACCUAGGGAGAAGGAUGGCCCCCGGUCAGUGAAGAGCAGAAACGCUCAGAGCUAAAAGGGGCGGCAGAAAAGAGGCCCAAGCAACUGUUUACCAAAAACACAGGUGCCUGCGAAAGCGAAAGCUGAAGUAUAGGUGCUGACGCCUGCCCGGUGCCGGAAGGUUAAGGAGAGAAGUUAGCGAACGCGAAGCAUCGAACUGAAGCCCCGGUGAACGGCGGCCGUAACUAUAACGGUCCUAAGGUAGCGAAAUUCCUUGUCGGGUAAGUUCCGACCCGCAUGAAAGGCGUAAUGAUUUGGGCACUGUCUCAACGAGGGGCCCGGUGAAAUUGAAAUACCUGUGAAGAUGCAGGUUACCCGCGACUGGACAGAAAGACCCCAUGGAGCUUCACUGCAGCUUGAGAUUGAAUCCCGGUGACAGAUGCACAGGAUAGGUGGGAGGCGCCGAAGCAUUGCCCUAGGGCGGUGCGGAGCCGAUGUUGGGAUACCACCCUUCUGUUGCUGAGAUUCUAACGCGAGGAGUAACGACCCUGCGGACCCUCUCAGGCAGGCGGUUUGACUGGGGCGGUCGCCUCCGAAAGAGUAACGGAGGCGCCCAAAGGUUCCCUCAGGCCGGACAGAAACCGGCCGAAGAGUGCAAAGGCAGAAGGGAGCUUGACUGCGAGACCAACAAGUCGAGCAGAGACGAAAGUCGGGCUUAGUGAUCCGGUGGUACUGAGUGGAAAGGCCAUCGCUCAACGGAUAAAAGCUACCCUGGGGAUAACAGGCUAAUCUCUCCCAAGAGUUCAUAUCGACGGGGAGGUUUGGCACCUCGAUGUCGGCUCAUCACAUCCUGGGGCUGGAGUAGGUCCCAAGGGUUGGGCUGUUCGCCCAUUAAAGUGGUACGCGAGCUGGGUUCAAAACGUCGUGAGACAGUUUGGUUCAUAUCCAUCGCGGGCGCAAGAAGUUUGAGAGGAGCUGUCCCUAGUACGAGAGGACCGGAGUGGACGGAUCAACGGUGUCCCAGUUGUCACGCCAGUGGCACGGCUGGAAAGCCGCAUCC
rnacentral:rRNA from 1 species